rnacentral:rRNA from 1 species
ACAGAGGGGGCAAGCGUUGUUCGGAAUUACUGGGCGUAAAGGGCGCGUAGGCGGCCUUCUAAGUCGAACGUGAAAUCCCCGGGCUCAACCCGGGAACUGCGUCCGAUACUGGAAGGCUUGAAUCCGGGAGAGGGAUGCGGAAUUCCAGGUGUAGCGGUGAAAUGCGUAGAUAUCUGGAGGAACACCGGUGGCGAAGGCGGCAUCCUGGACCGGUAUUGACGCUGAGGCGCGAAAGCCAGGGGAGCAAACGGGA